rnacentral:rRNA from 1 species
GAUGAACGCUGGCGGCGUGCCUAAUACAUGCAAGUCGAGCGAACAGAUGAGGAGCUUGCUCCUCUGACGUUAGCGGCGGACGGGUGAGUAACACGUGGAUAACCUACCUAUAAGACUGGGAUAACUUCGGGAAACCGGAGCUAAUACCGGAUAAUAUAUUGAACCGCAUGGUUCAAUAGUGAAAGACGGUUUUGCUGUCACUUAUAGAUGGAUCCGCGCCGCAUUAGCUAGUUGGUAAGGUAACGGCUUACCAAGGCAACGAUGCGUAGCCGACCUGAGAGGGUGAUCGGCCACACUGGAACUGAGACACGGUCCAGACUCCUACGGGAGGCGGCAGUAGGGAAUCUUCCGCAAUGGGCGAAAGCCUGACGGAGCAACGCCGCGUGAGUGAUGAAGGUCUUCGGAUCGUAAAACUCUGUUAUUAGGGAAGAACAAAUGUGUAAGUAACUAUGCACGUCUUGACGGUACCUAAUCAGAAAGCCACGGCUAACUACGUG